UUAAGCGACUAAGCGUACACGGUGGAUGCCCUGGCAGUCAGAGGCGAUGAAGGACGUGCUAAUCUGCGAAAAGCGUCGGCGAGGUGAUAUGAACCUUUGACCCGGCGAUGUCCGAAUGGGGAAACCCAGUGCAAUUCGUUGCACUAUCGUUAACUGAAUACAUAGGUUAACGAGGCGAACCGGGGGAACUGAAACAUCUAAGUACCCCGAGGAAAAGAAAUCAACCGAGAUUCCCCCAGUAGCGGCGAGCGAACGGGGAGCAGCCCAGAACCUGAAUCAGCUUGUGCAUUAAUGGAACGGUCUGGAAAGUCCGGCGAUACAGGGUGAUAGCCCCGUACAUGAAAGUGCACAGGUUGUGAGUUCGAUGAGUAGGGCGGGACACGUGGUAUCCUGUCUGAAUAUGGGGGGACCAUCCUCCAAGGCUAAAUACUCCUGACUGACCGAUAGUGAACCAGUACCGUGAGGGAAAGGCGAAAAGAACCCCGGCGAGGGGAGUGAAAAAGAACCUGAAACCGUGUACGUACAAGCAGUGGGAGCACCUUCGUGGUGUGACUGCGUACCUUUUGUAUAAUGGGUCAGCGACUUAUAUUCUGUAGCAAGGUUAACCGUAUAGGGGAGCCGAAGGGAAACCGAGUCUUAACUGGGCGUUAAGUUGCAGGGUAUAGACCCGAAACCCGGUGAUCUAGCCAUGGGCAGGUUGAAGGUUGGGUAACACUAACUGGAGGACCGAACCGACUAAUGUUGAAAAAUUAGCGGAUGACUUGUGGCUGGGGGUGAAAGGCCAAUCAAACCGGGAGAUAGCUGGUUCUCCCCGAAAGCUAUUUAGGUAGCGCCUCGUGAACUCAUCUUCGGGGGUAGAGCACUGUUUCGGCUAGGGGGUCAUCCCGACUUACCAACCCGAUGCAAACUACGAAUACCGAAGAAUGUUAUCACGGGAGACACACGGCGGGUGCUAACGUCCGUCGUGAAGAGGGAAACAACCCAGACCGCCAGCUAAGGUCCCAAAGUCAUGGUUAAGUGGGAAACGAUGUGGGAAGGCACAGACAGCCAGGAUGUUGGCUUAGAAGCAGCCAUCAUUUAAAGAAAGCGUAAUAGCUCACUGGUCGAGUCGGCCUGCGCGGAAGAUGUAACGGGGCUAAACCAUGCACCGAAGCUGCGGCAGCGACACUAUGUGUUGUUGGGUAGGGGAGCGUUCUGUAAGCCGUUGAAGGUGAACCGUGAGGUUUGCUGGAGGUAUCAGAAGUGCGAAUGCUGACAUAAGUAACGAUAAAGCGGGUGAAAAGCCCGCUCGCCGGAAGACCAAGGGUUCCUGUCCAACGUUAAUCGGGGCAGGGUGAGUCGACCCCUAAGGCGAGGCCGAAAGGCGUAGUCGAUGGGAAACAGGUUAAUAUUCCUGUACUUGGUGUUACUGCGAAGGGGGGACGGAGAAGGCUAUGUUAGCCGGGCGACGGUUGUCCCGGUUUAAGCAUGUAGGCGGGAGGUUUAGGUAAAUCCGGACUUCUUUUAACGCUGAGGUGUGACGACGAGGCACUACGGUGCUGAAGUAACAAAUGCCCUGCUUCCAGGAAAAGCCUCUAAGCAUCAGGUAACAUUGAAUCGUACCCCAAACCGACACAGGUGGUCAGGUAGAGAAUACCAAGGCGCUUGAGAGAACUCGGGUGAAGGAACUAGGCAAAAUGGUGCCGUAACUUCGGGAGAAGGCACGCUGAUAUGUAGGUGAAGCCCCUGCGGGUGGAGCUGAAAUCAGUCGAAGAUACCAGCUGGCUGCAACUGUUUAUUAAAAACACAGCACUGUGCAAACACGAAAGUGGACGUAUACGGUGUGACGCCUGCCCGGUGCCGGAAGGUUAAUUGAUGGGGUUAGCGGCAACGCGAAGCUCUUGAUCGAAGCCCCGGUAAACGGCGGCCGUAACUAUAACGGUCCUAAGGUAGCGAAAUUCCUUGUCGGGUAAGUUCCGACCUGCACGAAUGGCGUAAUGAUGGCCAGGCUGUCUCCACCCGAGACUCAGUGAAAUUGAACUCGCUGUGAAGAUGCAGUGUACCCGCGGCAAGACGGAAAGACCCCGUGAACCUUUACUAUAGCUUGACACUGAACAUUGAGCCUUGAUGUGUAGGAUAGGUGGGAGGCUUUGAAGCGUGGACGCCAGUCUGCGUGGAGCCAACCUUGAAAUACCACCCUUUAAUGUUUGAUGU
rnacentral:rRNA from 1 species